rnacentral:tRNA from 1 species
AGUCCCGUAGUGUAGUGGCCAAUCACGCGGGCUUCUGGGGCCCGCAACGCUGGUUCGAAUCCAGCCGGGACUA